UGGGGAAUUUUGGACAAUGGGCGAAANCCUGAUCCAGCAAUGCCGCGUGUGUGAAGAAGGCCUUCGGGUUGUAAAGCACUUUUGUCCGGAAAGAAAUCCUUGGCUCUAAUACAGUCGGGGGAUGACGGUACCGGAAGAAUAAGCACCGGCUAACUACGUGCCAGCAGCCGCGGUAAUACGUAGGGUGCAAGCGUUAAUCGGAAUUACUGGGCGUAAAGCGUGCGCAGGCGGUUUGCUAAGACCGAUGUGAAAUCCCCGGGCUCAACCUGGGAACUGCAUUGGUGACUGGCAGGCUAGAGUAUGGCAGAGGGGGGUAGAAUUCCACGUGUAGCAGUGAAAUGCGUAGAGAUGUGGAGGAAUACCGAUGGCGAAGGCAGCCCCCUGGGCCAAUACUGACGCUCAUGCACGAAAGCGUGGGGAGCAAACAGGAUUAGAUACCCUGGUAGUCCACGCCCUAAACGAUGUCAACUAGUUGUUGGGGAUUCAUUUCCUUAGUAACGUAGCUAACGCGUGAAGUUGACCGCCUGGGGAGUACGGUCGCAAGAUUAAAACUUAAAUAAAUUGAC
rnacentral:rRNA from 1 species